rnacentral:pre_miRNA from 1 species
CAAGCACUCCCUCCAUUCCACAAUACAUGCCUUCCAUUUAUCAAAAUAUAGAUGUAUCUAGACAUGUUUUAGUAUAUAGGUACAUCCAUUUUUGGACAAAUGGAAGUCAAGUAGUAUCUUGGAACAGAGGGAGUAUAUG